rnacentral:rRNA from 1 species
CAUCCUGGGGCUGUAGUAGGUCCCAAGGGUUGGGCUGUUCGCCCAUUAAAGUGGUACGCGAGCUGGGUUCAGAACGUCGUGAGACAGUUCGGUCCCUAUCCGUCGCAGGCGUAGGAAAUUUGAGAAGACCUGUCCUUAGUACGAGAGGACCGGGAUGGACGUACCUCUGGUGUACCAGUUGUCCUGCCAAGGGCAUGGCUGGGUAGCUAUGUACGGAAUGGAUAAGCGCUGAAAGCAUCUAAGCGCGAAGCCAACUUCAAGAUAAGAUUUCCCACCGCAAGGGUAAGACCCCAGAAAGACUAUCUGGUUGAUAGGUCGAAGGUGUAAGUGCAGCAAUGUAUUUAGCUUAUCGAUACUAAUAGGUCGAGGACUUGACCAA